rnacentral:rRNA from 1 species
AAAAAUUCAACAACGGAUAUCUUGGUUUGGCAUCGAUGAAGAACGCAGCGAAAUGUGAUAAGUAAAUGAAAGCAGAAUUCAGUGAAUCAUUGAAUUUUUGAAAGCACCAUGGGCCCCUUAGUUUUUUAGGGGGCCAGCCUGUUCCAGGGUCCCUU